rnacentral:rRNA from 1 species
AUACGGAGGAUGCGAGCGUUAUCCGGAUUUAUUGGGUUUAAAGGGUGCGUAGGCGGAUCAAUAAGUCAGUGGUGAAAUUCUGCAGCUUAACUGUAGACUUGCCAUUGAUACUGUUGGUCUUGAGUAUGGUCAAGGUAGGCGGAAUGUGUAAUGUAGCGGUGAGAUGCUUAGAUAUUACACAGAACACCGAUUGCGAAGGCAGCUUGCUGGGCCAAUACUGACGCUGAUGCACGAAAGCGUGGGGAUC